UCGGGAAUAUUGGACAAUGGGCGCAAGCCUGAUCCAGCCAUGCCGCGUGAGUGAUGAAGGCCUUAGGGUUGUAAAGCUCUUUUACCAGGGAUGAUAAUGACAGUACCUGGAGAAUAAGCUCCGGCUAACUCCGUGCCAGCAGCCGCGGUAAUACGGAGGGAGCCAGCGUUGUUCGGAAUUACUGGGCGUAAAGCGUACGUAGGCGGUGACUCAAGUCAGAGGUGAAAGCCUGGAGCUCAACUCCAGAACUGCCUUUGAUACUGGCAAUCUAGAGUCCGGAAGAGGUUAGUGGAAUUCCCAGUGUAGUGGUGAAAUACGUAGAUAUCAGGAGGAACAUCGGUGGCGAAGGCGGCUUACUGGUCUAGUACUGACACUGAGGUGCGAAAGCAUGGGGAUCAAACAGGAUUAGAUACCCUCGUAGUCCCUGAGCGGGCUGGCAAGGCGCAU
rnacentral:rRNA from 1 species